rnacentral:rRNA from 1 species
UACGUAGGGUCCGAGCGUUGUCCGGAAUUACUGGGCGUAAAGCGCUUGUAGGCGGUUCGUCGCGUCGUGUGUGAAAACUUGGGGCUCAACCUUAAGCUUGCAGGCGAUACGGGCGGACUAGAGUACUUCAGGGGAGACUGGAAUUCCUGGUGUAGCGGUGAAAUGCGCAGAUAUCAGGAGGAACACCGGUGGCGAAGGCGGGUCUCUGGGAAGUAACUGACGCUGAGAAGCGAAAGCAUGGGUAGCAAACAGG